UUCAUACCUUUCUCGGCCUUUUGGCUAAGAUCAAGUGUAGUAUCUGUUCUUAUCAGUUUAAUAUCUGAUACGUGGGCCAUCGGCCCACAUGAUAUUAAAUUAAUUUUUCAAGGGGGAGGGCCCAUCAAGGUAGCUUGCUACCUGGGCUUUCGAGCGUCGCCCUAGCGUUGCACUACUGCUUGGGCCUUGGCGCACCCCUCCAAUAUCAGUUCUCAAAGCAUUGUUUGGGCUUUACUGGAUUUAAGGAGAAUAUUAUUUAUUUGUAUAUUGUCAUCGUAGGUUAAAGAUUCUACUCAACUAGCCUACCCUUACUACUAGCAUCAUCUAGUUUGCUAAAGACGACAUGGUAGAUAUCGUGGAUGUCUCAAUGCCCUUGUUUUAGGUCCCUUGUGGUUCGAUGACUGAUUUGGUUUGUAUUGGGAUGAAGCGUAGAGGUCCGUUGUAUCGGAGUGGUUCAUCUUCAAAAGAAGAACAAAACUCCGAUGACAAGUACUUCUGCCUCAAAUAGCGGAGGUCCGUUGUAUCGGAGUGGUUCAUCUUCAAAAGAAGAACAAAACUCCAAUGACAAGUACUUCUGCCUCAAAUAGCGGACCCAACAGAUUUGUUUUUGAAAAGUCUCAAUGUCCUUGUUGAGGAUUGAACGGCCAAGUUAUUGAGGAUACGUUUGAGUGAAGUAAUGUUUAUUCAGAUAUUCUCGAUGAAGUAAUGUUUAUUCAGAUAUUCUCGACAUGUUCUCGAGAUGAAGACAAAUAUAUUUCAAUCCAAAAUACAAGAGUAAUUGGUUAUUGACAUGAACCCAUCACUAAAAAAAUAUUAAAAGUUUAGUUAUUGUAAAAUGAAAGAUUACAAGGGUUUAGGGUAUUAAAUACAAAAUUGGAAGAAGAAAUUUUCCUAUCGAGCAAUGGGCUGAUGGGCCAACACUAAAUGGGCUUUUAUAAUAUUGGGCUAAUGGGCUUUCUUUUUCUUCCAUUUAACCCAUCGGAAUGCUUCUUCUAUAAAUAGCUCCUGCUACAUCACAAUUUUCCAGACCCUAAACCCUAAAUUGUAUCUGCUCUGCAACAUCUCCGCCUCGUCUCUUAAUUUUUUUUUGCGUGUUCAUGAGAAGGCAGCAAUGAUGAUGAUUUCAUAUAAUCUCGUUAAUCCGAUCUCAAUGUGAGGAUAAACGCUUAUCCAUUCUUUUAUAUCUGAGCGCCUUCUCUUUCUCUGAAUUCUUUUUUUGUUGCUUUACUGUGUUUUCUGAACUUUUCAAGCAUUUGACAUGGCGGAGUAAUUGGAUCCAUUCUAUUUUCGGAUUUUUCUGAUUUUAAUUAACCAUGUUCGUUUUACUGUGUUUGUCAUGAUUCUAUUCGUCAAUUCUUGAUCUAUUUCGUUCGUUUUA